rnacentral:rRNA from 1 species
CUACGGGAUGCACCAGUUAGGAAUCUUUUGCAAUGCGCGCAAGCGUGACAAAUUGAAUCAGAGUGCUUCUCAAUUGAGAAGCUUUUGCCAAAUGUAAAAAGUUUGGCGAAUAAGGACUGGGUAAGACUAGUGCCAGCCGCCGCGGUAAUACUAGCGGUCCAAGUCGCAGCCAUUUUUAUUAGGUCUAAAACAUCCGUAGCUUGCUUGAUAAGUUUCUUGUGAAAUCCUACUUCUCAAAAGUAGGGCGGGCAGGAAGUACUAUCAAGCUAGAGACUGGAAGACGUAAGAAGUAUGAUUAAAGUAGCGGUAAAAUGUUUUAAUCUUAAUCAGACUAACAAUAGCGAAGGCAUCUUACGAGGACAGUUCUGACAGUAAGGGAUGAAGGCUAGGGGCGCAAAACGGAUUAGAUACCCCCGUAGUC